AAACUUUCAACAACGGAUCUCUUGGUUCUGGCAUCGAUGAAGAACGCAGCGAAAUGCGAUAAGUAAUGUGAAUUGCAGAAUUCAGUGAAUCAUCGAAUCUUUGAACGCACAUUGCGCCCCCUGGUAUUCCGGGGGGUAUGCCUGUUCGAGCGUCAUU
rnacentral:rRNA from 3 species